AAAACUAUUUCUCCACGUCAUUUCAACGUGUGAGAUUAUGAUCUUUGCUUCAUUCUCCAAGUCAUUGACUCCUUAUUUUUAGAUAAAGAUUAUUUCUCCAAUGGCAAAGAAAAAAACAAUCAUUUGGAAGACACAUAAACCUCGUUGGUAAAUUAGUUUGCUCGUUUUCCAAUGCAGAAUAUUUAGAUUGAAACCCCAACAAAACAGAUACAUCCAAGUAGUUAAUUAGGUGUAGCCAUUAAGAAUGUUUCUGAAUAAGAGAGACGUAUUUCCUGUUGAACGAUAUGAAUAAGUUGAGUUGAGCCUUAUGAUCUUGAUCAGCAGCAGCAGCACUUGUAUUAUUUUUCCCAAAGAUUAUGAGAACCAGUUCAGGUGUGUUCAACUUUGGUCCAUUCAUGAGACCACCCCUUUCCACUUGAAGUUAUCAUAAGCUACAGGUCAAGCAAAGCCUAAAAUGUUGGCUGAUCCGACCGAAAGCCAAGAAAAAUGGGGAUCAAAUUGCUGUUAUCAUUGUCGCCAUAGUUGGAACAUCCUUUAUUCUGCGUUUCAAAUACUUAAAAAACCGAAGGACUGUUUGGUGAUGAUAAUCCAAAUCACAAACUAUUGUUGGAUACUCAGAAGCAAAUUGAAUGUCAAAAUCAGGUUUUAAAAACGGGUCGGCUAAAGAAAGGUUUCCACACCUUUAUAAAACAUUAUUCUCCCCAACAUUAAUGUGGGAUCUCAUAAU